rnacentral:rRNA from 1 species
AUUGAACGCUGGCGGCAGGCUUAACACAUGCAAGUCGAGCGGGGGAAGGUAGCUUGCUACCGGACCUAGCGGCGGACGGGUGAGUAAUGCUUAGGAAUCUGCCUAUUAGUGGGGGACAACAUCUCGAAAGGGAUGCUAAUACCGCAUACGUCCUACGGGAGAAAGCAGGGGAUCUUCGGACCUUGCGCUAAUAGAUGAGCCUAAGUCGGAUUAGCUAGUUGGUGGGGUAAAGGCCUACCAAGGCGACGAUCUGUAGCGGGUCUGAGAGGAUGAUCCGCAAACCUGGGAAUGGGACACGGCCCAGACUCCUACGGGAGGCAGCAGUGGGGAAUAUUGGACAAUGGGGGGAACCCUGAUCCAGCCAUGCCGCGUGUGUGAAGAAGGCCUUAUGGUUGUAAAGCACUUUAAGCGAGGAGGAGGCUACUUUAGUUAAUACCUAGAGAUAGUGGACGUUACUCGCAGAAUAAGCACCGGCUAACUCUGUGCCAGCAGCCGCCGUAA